rnacentral:rRNA from 1 species
UUUGUAGAAGGUGCUUCGGGCGAGACCCCGGUCCAAGUCCCUUGGAACAGGGCGUCGCAGAGGGUGAGAAUCCCGUACGCGGCCGGUGGACGAGCCCGUGUGAAGCCCUUUCGACGAGUCGAGUUGUUUGGGAAUGCAGCUCUAAAUGGGUGGUAAAUUUCAUCUAAAGCUAAAUAUCUGCCGGAGACCGAUAGCGCACAAGUAGAGUGAUCGAAAGAUGAAAAGCACUUUGAAAAGAGAGUCAAACAGUACGUGAAAUUGUUGAAAGGGAAGCGCUUGCAACCAGACUCGUUCGCGGGUGCUCAGCCGUCCCUCGGGGCGGUGCAUUCUCCCGCGUUUCGGGCCAGCAUCGGUUCUGGCGGCCGGAUAAAGGCCUCGGGAACGUAACUCUCUUCGGGGAGUGUUAUAGCCCGGGGUGCAAUGCGGCCAGCCGGGACCGAGGACCGCGCGUUUGCUAGGAUGCUGGCGUAAUGGUUGUUAGCGACCCGUCUUGAAACACGGA